rnacentral:rRNA from 1 species
UACGGAUGGUGCAAGCGUUAUCCAGAUUCACUGGGUUUAAAGGGUGCGUAGGUGGGCAGGUAAGUCAGUGGUGAAAUCUCCGGGCUUAACCCGGAAACUGCCAUUGAUACUAUCUGUCUUGAAUACCGUGGAGGUGAGCGGAAUAUGUCAUGUAGCGGUGAAAUGCUUAGAUAUGACAUAGAACACCAAUUGCGAAGGCAGCUCACUACGCGAAUAUUGACACUGAGGCACGAAAGCGUGGGGAUCAAACAGG